rnacentral:rRNA from 1 species
UACGGAGGGUGCAAGCGUUAAUCGGAAUUACUGGGCUUAAAGCGUGCGCAGGCGGUUUGUUAAGUCUGUUGUGAAAUCCCCGAGCUCAACUUGGGAAUUGCAAUGGAUACUGGCAGGCUGGAGUAUGGUAGAGGAAGGUGGAAUUCCCGGUGUAGCGGUGAAAUGCGUAGAGAUCGGGAGGAACACCAGUGGCGAAGGCGGCCUUCUGGACCAAUACUGACGCUCAUGCACGAAAGCGUGGGGAGCAAACAGG